CGUAGAAGCACGAACGGGAUUCAUUUGUCGAGGAGUCUCAGCCAACGCCGCUCGUGGUAGGAACUUGAAGUAGUUCGUUUGCAGCGGUAACUCGGAGUGGGUCGCUUGCAACAGGAGCUCGAAGUCCGACUCCCGUAGGAGUCCAGACAAAGUCUUCCUGCAGUCGAAGUCGGGGAUGAAGUCCAGCUCUCGAGGGAGUUCGAACGAAGUCUACCUACAAUUGAAGUCGUGGGCGGAGUCCGACUACCGUAGUAGUCCAGACGAAGCGUGGGCAGAGUCUGGCUCCCG
rnacentral:lncRNA from 1 species